UGCAGUCGAACGGUGAAGCAGAGCUUGCUCUGUGGAUCAGUGGCGAACGGGUGAGUAACACGUGAGCAAUCUGCCCCUGACUCUGGGAUAAGCGCUGGAAACGGCGUCUAAUACCGGAUACGAGCUGCGACCGCAUGGUCAGUAGCUGGAAAGAAUUUCGGUCAGGGAUGAGCUCGCGGCCUAUCAGCUUGUUGGUGAGGUAAUGGCUCACCAAGGCGUCGACGGGUAGCCGGCCUGAGAGGGUGACCGGCCACACUGGGACUGAGACACGGCCCAGACUCCUACGGGAGGCAGCAGUGGGGAAUAUUGCACAAUGGGCGAAAGCCUGAUGCAGCAACGCCGCGUGAGGGAUGACGGCCUUCGGGUUGUAAACCUCUUUUAGCAGGGAAGAAGCGAAAGUGACGGUACCUGCAGAAAAAGCGCCGGCUAACUACGUGCCAGCAGCCGCGGUAAUACGUAGGGCGCAAGCGUUAUCCGGAAUUAUUGGGCGUAAAGAGCUCGUAGGCGGUCUGUCGCGUCUGCUGUGAAAACCCGAGGCUCAACCUCGGGCCUGCAGUGGGUACGGGCAGACUAGAGUGCGGUAGGGGAGAUUGGAAUUCCUGGUGUAGCGGUGGAAUGCGCAGAUAUCAGGAGGAACACCGAUGGCGAAGGCAGAUCUCUGGGCCGUAACUGACGCUGAGGAGCGAAAGGGUGGGGAGCAAACAGGCUUAGAUACCCUGGUAGUCCACCCCGUAAACGUUGGGAACUAGUUGUGGGGUCCAUUCCACGGAUUCCGUGACGCAGCUAACGCAUUAAGUUCCCCGCCUGGGGAGUACGGCCGCAAGGCUAAAACUCAAAGGAAUUGACGGGGACCCGCACAAGCGGCGGAGCAUGCGGAUUAAUUCGAUGCAACGCGAAGAACCUUACCAAGGCUUGACAUAUAGAGGAAACGUCUGGAAACAGUCGCCCCGCAAGGUCUCUAUACAGGUGGUGCAUGGUUGUCGUCAGCUCGUGUCGUGAGAUGUUGGGUUAAGUCCCGCAACGAGCGCAACCCUCGUUCUAUGUUGCCAGCACGUAAUGGUGGGAACUCAUGGGAUACUGCCGGGGUCAACUCGGAGGAAGGUGGGGAUGACGUCAAAUCAUCAUGCCCCUUAUGUCUUGGGCUUCACGCAUGCUACAAUGGCCGGUACAAAGGGCUGCAAUACCGUGAGGUGGAGCGAAUCCCAAAAAGCCGGUCCCAGUUCGGAUUGAGGUCUGCAACUCGACCUCAUGAAGUCGGAGUCGCUAGUAAUCGCAG
rnacentral:rRNA from 1 species